UCGAGCGAUGGAUUAGAGCUUGCUCUUAUGAAGUUAGCGGCGGACGGGUGAGUAACACGUGGGUAACCUGCCCAUAAGACUGGGAUAACUCCGGGAAACCGGGGCUAAUACCGGAUAAUAUUUUGAACUGCAUGGUUCGAAAUUGAAAGGCGGCUUCGGCUGUCACUUAUGGAUGGACCCGCGUCGCAUUAGCUAGUUGGUGAGGUAACGGCUCACCAAGGCAACGAUGCGUAGCCGACCUGAGAGGGUGAUCGGCCACACUGGGACUGAGACACGGCCCAGACUCCUACGGGAGGCAGCAGUAGGGAAUCUUCCGCAAUGGACGAAAGUCUGACGGAGCAACGCCGCGUGAGUGAUGAAGGCUUUCGGGUCGUAAAACUCUGUUGUUAGGGAAGAACAAGUGCUAGUUGAAUAAGCUGGCACCUUGACGGUACCUAACCAGAAAGCCACGGCUAACUACGUGCCAGCAGCCGCGGUAAUACGUAGGUGGCAAGCGUUAUCCGGAAUUAUUGGGCGUAAAGCGCGCGCAGGUGGUUUCUUAAGUCUGAUGUGAAAGCCCACGGCUCAAACCGUGGAGGGUCAUUGGAAACUGGGAGACUUGAGUGCAGAAGAGGAAAGUGGAAUUCCAUGUGUAGCGGUGAAAUGCGUAGAGAUAUGGAGGAACACCAGUGGCGAAAGGCGACUUUCUGGUCUGUAACUGACACUGAGGCGCGAAAGCGUGGGGAGCAAACAAGGAUUAGAUACCCUGUAGUCCACGCCGUAACGAUGAGUGCUAAGUGU
rnacentral:rRNA from 2 species